AUGUCAGCCUGCUUGAAGAUGAAAUGGAAGAGAGCUUGUCAAACAUCUCCCUACAAGGGCAAGAAAGCGAAAUCAGGAGGUGAAAGGUUGGGUAGGAGGAUUGCUCAGACUCAAGAAACUAUCUGCGAGGCACUAAUUGGGCUGCCAAAAUGUGCUGGGGCAAAGAGGAGAAAUGCGGAUAAACAAUUUUGCAGCAAGGGGUCAGUGAUGAGGCUGGGGGCUUGGGGAGGCACAGCCAGGAUACCCCUUCUCCUAACCAACCCCCAAAGCGAGGGCCUGAGGAUUAAGCGAGGUUUCAGAAUGAGGCUGGGGCAGCUCAUGGGGCCUAUGCCCUUUGAACUCUGUUUCAGGCUCAGGUCUAGGCCCCAUCUCUCUCCCCAGCCCACCCACACCCUGCCAUCUGCAACAUCACCUGUGGGAGAAAUUGCUGGUGGGGAACAGGCACCAAGCUAAGCAUCCAGGCUGUGGACCUCUAAGGACAGUGGGCAGGGAAGCCCGCCUAACGUAAGGUAUGAGGCUGAAGAUGUGUAUGGGGAAAUGACCUUUGAAAUGUUGCUGCCUGGAGAAAGUGUCCCCUAGCCAAAGCAUGAAAUCCCAAAGUGAGCAGGGCUCAUCAUCCAAGGUAGAGCCAUUGGUAUGAGUGUAGGCAGCCUUUCUCCUUUUCAGAUGAGCCACGUUAUUUCAAAAACAAAGCGUAAAUUUAGGAGCAGGUGCAAAGGGAGCCCCGGCUUCAGAAAGGAAGGCAAGAGUUAGUCUUCUGGGAGCUCCUGGAGGAAAGACAUAUGAGGCAGAUGCAUCCUGACAUUCUGGUCUCCUUAUGGAUUCUAGAACGACCUGGCCCACGACCCAGGUGGAGAACAGGCUGAGCUUCACGAAACUCACCACCAUCUUGCUGCAGGCAGAGGGAUCUGGGGGAUGCCUGGGCCAGGAGAAAGACCGCACUGGAAGCCAAGGUGAGCUCAGGGGUACCUGAGAUUUGGGAAGUGCUUAUGAUUUGAAGGAAUAAGUCCAGCAGGCUGGGCUCAUGAGCAAGAGUUAGAUGGGGAGAUCAUUUCAUGGUGUCCUCAGGAAGCUGGGGUCUCAUUGUGAUCCUGGACUUUGCAAAGUCAGGAAUAUAAUCCCCCUACCUCUCCCGGGGGUGGUCUGGUGCUAGGGCGAUGGUUGACACUGAGCAAGGAACAUCUUAUUUUUCUUUGUAUCUUCUGGAGGCAAACAGUGCAGGGCAUACGCCAGAUCAAUGAUUUCACCCUGGCUGCUCAUUAGAACCUGGGAUACUUUAUACAAGUAUCUGUGCCUGGAAGCUGCUCCCGGAACCUGUCAAUUAAUUAGUCUGGGGAGGGGCCUGGGAGCUUCGUUUUGUGUUCUAGCUCCCCAGGGAAGCUAAAGCGGAGCCAAGGCUUUAAA
rnacentral:lncRNA from 1 species